rnacentral:misc_RNA from 1 species
AAUAAAAAGCCACCAAAAAAAAUGUUUGUCUUCCCUGACACUGCGUGUAAACUGGGGGUAGUCAGGUAAACGGAUCUUUUUACAGUGUACAGUUGUCUUCAAACCUUUGUUACUAAAUAACAAUAAUGGAACAGCAAACUAAUUUUUGUAACAAAGUUGAUGCCUAGAAUAUUCAUAAAACAUGAGUUUGGUAAUUUUUCAAUUAUUCAAAUGAAAAAGUGCUAACAAACUUUUUUUAAAAGGUGGCCUAAUUGAAAAUGUCAUUAUCUUAUACAUUGUGUGUAUUAAAGAAAAUACCAUGUAUGAAACAAAGUAUUAAUUGGUAUUCCAUACACCAAUUUCAGUUAUUCAUUUUUCUCAGAAAGUCAAGCAGAGAAAUCAUUUUCCCUGUUGAUUUUGAUUUUGAAACAGUUUGAAAUGUUAAACCCUUCUUCUGAUGUUUGAAGACAAAUUCAAAAUAUAUCAUGGUUUUGAGUGAUUGUUUUAUUCUAAAAAGAAUUUUUUUUAAUGUAUUUCGAUAUAGUCUUCAAAUAUGUUUAUAGCUCUACAUAAAUACAGUGUAUAUUUUUUUUUUCAUUUUGAAAUCCUAUUUCUUGAGUCUUUAUUAUUUUACUUUAUAUAUAUUUUAUCAUGGAUUGUUGUUUUUUUCUGUUUUUGUUGUGUAAGUAAUCAUUGUUAGCAACUUACCACAGAACAAGUUUAUUAAACGAUUGUAUUUUU